CCAGACUCCUACGGGAGGCAGCAGUGGGGGAUAUUGCACAAUGGGGGGAACCCUGAUGCAGCGACGCCGCGUGGGUGAAGGAGCGUUUCGGCGCGUAAAGCCCUAUCGGCAGGGAAGAAGGAGGACGGUACCUGACUAAGAAGCCCCGGCUAACUACGGGCCAGCAGCCGCGGUAAUACGUAGGGGGCAGGCGUUAUCCGGAUUUACUGGGUGUAAAGGGGGCGCAGACGGCAGCGCAAGCCAGGAGUGAAGGCCCGCGGCCCACCCGCGGGACUGCAUUGGGAACUACCGGGCUGGAGUGCAGGAGGGGCAGGCGGAAUUCCUGGUGUAGCGGUGAAAUGCGUAGAUAUCAGGAGGAACACCGGUGGCGAAGGCGGCCUGCUGGACUGCGACUGACGUUGAGGCCCGAAAGCGUGGGGAGCAAACAGGAUUAGAUACCCCCGUAU
rnacentral:rRNA from 1 species